ACGGCUCAGUAACACGUGGAUAACCUGCCCUUGGGUCCGGCAUAACCCCGGGAAACUGGGGAUAAUUCCGGAUACCGCAUAUUUGCUGGAAUGCUUUAUGCGUCAAAUGGAUUCGUCUGCCCAAGGAUGGGUCUGCGGCCUAUCAGGUAGUAGUGGGUGUAAUGUACCUACUAGCCGACAACGGGUACGGGUUGUGAGAGCAAGAGCCCGGAGAUGGAUUCUGAGACAUGAAUCCAGGCCCUACGGGGCGCAGCAGGCGCGAAAACUUUACAAUGCGGGAAACCGUGAUAAGGGGACACCGAGUGUCAGCAUCAUAUGCUGGCUGUCCAGGUGUGUAAAAUACACCUGUUAGCAAGGGCCGGGCAAGACCGGUGCCAGCCGCCGCGGUAACACCGGCGGCCCGAGUGGUGAUCGUGAUUAUUGGGUCUAAAGGGUCCGUAGCCGGUUUGGUCAGUCCUCCGGGAAAUCUGAUGGCUCAACCAUUAGGCUUUCGGGGGAUACUGCCAGGCUUGGAACCGGGAGAGGUAAGAGGUACUACAGGGGUAGGAGUGAAAUCUUGUAAUCCCUGUGGGACCACCUGUGGCGAAGGCGUCUUACCAGAACGGGUUCGACGGUGAGGGACGAAAGCUGGGGGCACGAACCGGAUUAGAUACCCGGGUAGUCCCAGCCGUAAACGAUGCUCGCUAGGUGUCAGGCAUGGCGCGACCGUGUCUGGUGCCGCAGGGAAGCCGUGAAGCGAGCCACCUGGGAAGUACGGCCGCAAGGCUGAAACUUAAAGGAAUUGGCGGGGGAGAA
rnacentral:rRNA from 1 species